UGCAUGUGUAAGCGAAGCUAUAUGUGGAGCGGUGAAAGGCUCAGUAACGGGCGAUUUAUUUAAUCUCCUGGGACGGACAACAUCGGGAAACUGAUGGGAAAACGUCUAAGUUGCAUUAAUUUUAGUGUGACGUAAACGGAUACGUGCAGGAGAGUAAGAUGCCAUCCUAUCAGUUAGUAAGUAGGGUAAGGGCCUACUUAGACGAAGACGGGUACGGGGAAUGAGGGUUUGAUUCCGGAGAGGGAGCCUGA
rnacentral:rRNA from 1 species